rnacentral:rRNA from 1 species
GACAGAGGCCUCAAGCGUUAGGCGGAAUCACUGGGCUUAAAGCGUGUGUAGGCGGAUCGUUAAGUACCUUGUGAAAUCCCACGGCUCACCCGUGGAACUGCUGGGUAUACUGGCGGUCUUGGGCCAACUAGGGGCAGCUGGAACAAGCGGUGGAGCGGUGAAAUGCGUAGAUAUCGCUUGGAACGCCGAAGGUGAAAACAGGCUGCUGGGGUUGUGCCGACG